CGAUAAGUUAAAAAUGGGAAAGAAGAAAAAAAGACAAACCGAAAAAGAACAACAAAAGUGAAAAAAAUGGUCGGAGUACACCUGGCCAUGGCUCAAACAGAAAAUAUGAUCCGAAACCAACAGCAACGGCAUGUCCAUCGGCCAGCAGCUAUCAAGAUGCUACGACCCAAGAGCCACCGAAAAACUAGUAGUACGCCUUGAGCCAUUUGUUGCAGCCCCUUUAAAAUUUGGACGACAGUUUGCAUAAAAGAUCAUUGGACAAUUUCAUCGCCUGGUCCGUAUCAAAGUGGUUUGUGGAGGUGCCGUAUUUAUUAGAGGACCGCAAGCUGGGUAUCCAACUUCGCAGAUACAUAGGUCCUGCUCUGAUAGUGAUAACAAAUCGGAGCUGAUUCCGAAA